GGAAUUUUGCGCAAUGGGCGAAAGCCUGACGCAGCAACGCCGCGUGGGGGAAGAAGGCCCUCGGGUCGUAAACCCCUUUUGUAAGGGAAGUAACUGACGGUACCUUACGAAUAAGCCACGGCUAACUACGUGCCAGCAGCCGCGGUAAUACGUAGGUGGCAAGCGUUGUCCGGAUUUACUGGGCGUAAAGGGCGCGCAGGCGGCGCAUCAAGUCUGGGGUGAAAUCUCCCGGCUCAACCGGGAGAGGUCUUUGGAUACUGAUGUGCUUGAGGGAAGCAGAGGAAAGCGUAAUUCCCGGUGUAGCGGUGAUAUGCGUAGAUAUCGGGAGGAACACCAGUGGCGAAGGCGGCUUUCUGGGCUUUUCCUGACGCUGAGGCGCGAAAGCGUGGGGAGCGAAC
rnacentral:rRNA from 1 species